UACAGAGGGGGCAAGCGUUGUUCGGAAUUACUGGGCGUAAAGCGCGUGCAGGCGGCCUUGCAAGUCGGACGUGAAAUCCCACGGCUCAACCGUGGAAGUGCAUUCGAAACUGCGAGGCUGGAGUCCUGGAGAGGAAAGUGGAAUACUCGGUGUAGAGGUGAAAAUUCGUAGAUAUCGAGUGGAACACCGGUGGCGAAGGCGGCUUUCUGGACAGGUACUGACGCUGAGACGCGAAAGCGUGGGGAGCAAACAGG
rnacentral:rRNA from 1 species